rnacentral:rRNA from 1 species
AAGGUACCACUUAAAGUUAAAAUAUUCAUGUGGUAUCUCCAUAGAGUUGUACUAACCAAAGACAACUUCACACGAUGCAACUGGUCAGGAAGUAUGAAGUGUUGUUUUUGUACUCAUGAUGAGACAAUUAAACACCUCUUUUUCGAAUGUAAGUUUGCGUGUUCUACGUGGUCAGUCAUCCAAAUAGCGUCAAAUUUGUGUCCGCCUACAAGUGUUAUCAAUAUUUUUGGUCAUUGGCUGGACGGUAUUUCAAAUAGGUACAAAACGCUUAUAAGGGUGGGAGGUUAUGUCUUACUAUGGUAG